rnacentral:rRNA from 1 species
UUAAAUAGCUGCAGUAAUUAUCAAUAGUUUUUUAAUUAAAAGCUUGUAUGAAUGGUUNGACGAGAUAAAAUCUGUCUUUAUUUAAUUAUAAUAUAAUUUAAUUUUUAAGUAAAAAAGCUUAAAUAAUAAUAAAAGACGAGAAGACCCUAUAGAGUUUUAUAUAAUUAAAUUAAUAAUUUAUUAAGAUUUUUUAUAAUUAUUUAUUUAAUUAUAUUUUAUUGGGGUAAUAGAAAGAUUAAAAAAAUUCUUUAUUUUUUAAUAUAUUUAUUUAUAUAUAAUUGAUCCAUUAUUAAUGAAUAUAAGAUUAAAUUACCUUAGGGAUAACAGCGUAAUUUUUUUAGAGAGUUCAUAUUGAUAAAAAAGUUUGCGACCUCGAUGUUGGAUUAAAGAUUAUUUUAGGUGCAAAAAUUUAAUAAAUUUGGUCUGUUCGACCAUUAAAUCUUUACAUGAUCUGAGUUUAAACCGGUGUAAGCCAGGUUGGUUUCUAUCUUUAUUUAAUUAUAAUAUUUUAGUACGAAAGGACCAAAUAUUAAUUAUAAUAAUUAUAUUUUGAAUAUUAUUGUUAUUUUGGCAGAAAAGUGUAUUGAGUUUAGAAUUCAAAUAUGUAAUUUUAUUACAAAUAAUAUUUGUAUAUAAAUGANUUAAUUUUUAUAGUUAUUAAUUUAUUAGUAUUAAUUAUUUGUGUAUUAAUUAGAGUAGCUUUUUUAACUUUAUUAGAACGAAA